UAAAUCCUGCUGAGGUAUAUACAACUCUACAAGCUGGUUCUCAAAUCCUUUUUUUGGAACGAGACUGAAGGAUUUCUGCAUAAAUAAUCAUAGUGGAAUUUUCAAGAUAUUUCAACGGUCUGUGGUGGCCAAAUAUGUGGAAUUGAGGCUGUUCCAGUAAAUCUGGAAUGAAUUGACACUCUAUCCACAGAGUAUGAAACUGUGUGUAGAGUAUGCAUGUGCGCGCGCGUGCACACACACACACAUACACACACACACACACACACAGGAAGAAUUCUUUUCUUGUCCAGACACUGGCAUUGGCAGUGAAACCAUCCAUUCCAAACCAAAGGAGCCCCCUCACCAAUGGCCUUGCCGCCCAGGAACCCUGCAGGGCAGAAGUUGGGGAGGGGAUAGCAGUCUGAAUAGCGGUCUUGGAUGGCUGGAAGCUGGCACCUGUGAACAAGCACCCAUGAUGGUGAUGCAUCCGGAACCAGGCUGCCCAGCCAACCAGUGCUUUCCCACCGGAGCUUUUGCUCUGGGCUCCUCUGCCGUUGAUUUCCCAGGUCCCGCCUUGCAUUUUCUCCCUCAUCUUCACAUGUGGGGAGCCCCUGACCGGCUGCUGAAGACCCCCAGACAAGCCUUCAGCUUCCAGAUCAUGGAAGGCAGCAUGGGGAGGCAGGAGACCCCUGGGAGGGCGGAGCAUGACUUUUGUCCAGGAGGCUGGACUACCGACUUCAGCAGGUGUUGAUUCCAGGGCCCUCCUUAAUAAACACCUCAAACUCCAUCUUAGAGUCUUCUCCAAGAACCCAAGCUGUGACACCUGGUAAUGAGCAGUGUUGGUGAAUUGUGUGACCCAAGUCCUAGAAGGCUCUGGUUGGCUCUGGAGGACAUCCCUCAAGAAGUGCUGGCAGAUGUUAGAUUCCCGCCACCUGGAGGCCUGACCUCACCUGAGGGCAUCCCUGCCUGUCCAUGUCUUUUGACUGGGUGGGCAGCCCUGCCUACCUCUCUGCAGCUUCAAACACCAGCCGCUUCCACUCAGAGACACUCAAAAUGUGUCGAGGGAGGUUGUCCUCUGGACUCCUGGGAAUUGACCACCAGCAUGCGCUGCUCCGCUGACAAGGGAAAGGGCCCUCUGGCCCGCACAGCAUGGAUAUGGGCAGAACGGUUUUUCCUAACUAGGCCUUCUGGGUUGCAGCAGAACAGCAUGUGUCUGCUUCUCAAAUGUAACAGGACAAGAUGUUCAGGUCUUGUGUCCUCUGUGAAGCAGGGCUGCAAGGACCCCUUACCAAGGAGAAGAUUGUCUCUGGAAACUGCGAAAUCUGACCAGAAGGCCCUUAGCCUCCCAGGCUCUGUAGCUUCUGCAGUGAUGAGGCCUGGCCACCAGAUGGCUCCACAGAGGCCACUGCUCUCUCAGGGAAGAGGAGGCUGGGAAGAUCCAGGGGAGGACAUGGAAUUGGAUUCUCACCUGGGGAAGCUGUGCCCAGUUAAAUUGAGUGACUUGCCUAAAGCAACUAAGGAGUGA
rnacentral:lncRNA from 1 species